AGUGAACGCUGGCGGUAGGCCUAACACAUACAAGUCGAACGGCAGCACAGUAAGAGCUUGCUCUUACGGGUGGCGAGUGGCGGACGGGUGAGGAAUACAUCGGAAUCUACUUUUUCGUGGGGGAUAACGUAGGGAAACUUACGCUAAUACCGCAUACGACCUACGGGUGAAAGCAGGGGAUCUUCGGACCUUGCGCGAUCGAAUGAGCCGAUGUCGGAUUAGCUAGUUGGCGGGGUAAAGGCCCACCAAGGCGACGAUCCGUAGCUGGUCUGAGAGGAUGAUCAGCCACACUGGAACUGAGACACGGUCCAGACUCCUACGGGAGGCAGCAGUGGGGAAUAUUGGACAAUGGGCGCAAGCCUGAUCCAGCCAUACCGCGUGGGUGAAGAAGGCCUUCGGGUUGUAAAGCCCUUUUGUUGGGAAAGAAAAGCAGCAGGUUAAUACCCCGCUGUUCUGACGGUACCCAAAGAAUAAGCACCGGCUAACUUCGUG
rnacentral:rRNA from 1 species